CCAGAUCCACAUAUCUAAUGUGUUUUUUAAUUUUAAAAAAUAAAACAUCUCUCUGUUUUUGUCGUUGCUUACUGCUGGGCCUUCUAUUAAGGUGGAGGGGACAAAUAAUAGAAUGGAGUGGGGAGGAUGGGUAACCUUUAAGACAUGAAAAGGCUAGCAAAUCUUGGGACGAAAAGCUGAGAGUAGAUAUGGGUCCUUCUCAGUACAGGAGCCUUUUCUUUUAUGCUCAUCGCCAUUUUUCCUAUUUUCUGGAGCAUGGAUCUAUUCCACCAGCCAAGCAUAGAUAAAAGAUAUACGCGCUUCUCCUUCAUAAAAGAGCUAAAAGGCCAUUUCUAAUUCUGCUUCUUUUCCUAUUCCUAUCUCAAUACAGUUUAGAUAUCCAUACUGUGACAGAGGCUUCCUUCCCUGGAAUUUAGUGGCUAAUUUGAUAAAAUACUACACAAUUUUACAGUUUCCUAAGUUCAAUUCACUUUCUAUCACUUAGAUGGCUUAUUUUGUUCGCUCUCUCUCUCUCUCUCUUUUAUGGUUUGAAGCUGC
rnacentral:lncRNA from 1 species